GACAGAGGAGCCAAGCGUUGUCCGGACUGACUGGGCGUAAAGCGCACGCAGGCGGUCGGGCAAGUGUCGUGUGAAAGCGAGCGGCUUAACUGCUCGAGGCCAUGGCAAACUGCCUGACUGGAGCGCUGGAGAGGUCGGUGGAAUUGCCGGUGUAGUGGUGAAAUGCGUAGAGAUCGGCAGGAACACCCAGGGGGAAGCCAACCGACUGGCCAGCCGCUGACGCUGAGGUGCGACAGCGUGGGGAGCGAACCGG
rnacentral:rRNA from 1 species